UCAUAACUCUCUCAUCUCUCAACCGAUUUGGGUGAUCCAAAAGGCUAAGUUGUGAGAUUUUUCGAGGGCAACGUGUUGGUGAGCUCGGAUAGUGAUUUGGAGUCCCCGUUUGAGCGGGGAAGCGUUUCGAGACCUUUCGGAAAGGAAAAUCUCCGGAGGAGUGAUUUUGGAGCGCGUGUGAUCGGCUUUAAGGUCCGGGCACUAGUAGCCAGCGUUGAUCGAGCUUGGAGCAGACUGAUCCGGAGACGGGAGUGAGCACACGACGUUUUGUACUAUUUCAGUCUCCAUCUGUAUAUAUAGACUUGUCUUUUACCUUUCGAGACAGUCCAGUCUCUGUUGUCCACUUUUGGGACUUGUACUCAUUUUGUUAGUAGCUCUGUACCAGUGACUUCCAGGUUCUGGGAGGGAUCUUUAUUUGUAUAUAUGUUUUUGGUUUGCUUCCGCCUGUUUAUAUUGUUAUUUGCCUUCUCUUGUUUAGUUUCUACCCUCAGACCCAUUACUUGUUGUUCCGGGUUACGGGUUGGCUUACCUACUGGUGGGUUAUAGUAGGUGCCAUCAUGACUUGAGAAAUCGGGUCGUGACAAGUUGGUAUCAGAGCCCCAGGUUUAUUGGUCUCACUUGUACAGAGCUAACGUCUAGUAGAGUCCUGCGGAUCGGUGCGGAGACGUCCGUAACUUAUCUUCGGGAGGCUACAGGAUGUCCUUAGGAAAAUUUCCUCUUUUGUUUCGCUUUCGUGCAGUGUGUG